rnacentral:rRNA from 1 species
CGAAAGCCUGACGGAGCAAGACCGCGUGGGGGAAGAAGGCUCUUGGGUUGUAAACCCCUUUUCUCUGGGAAGAAAGUUGUGAAAGCAACCUGACGGUACCAGAGGAAUCAGCAUCGGCUAACUCCGUGCCAGCAGCCGCGGUAAGACGGAGGAUGCAAGCGUUAUCCGGAAUGAUUGGGCGUAAAGCGUCCGCAGGUGGCAGUUCAAGUCUGCUGUCAAAGACCGGGGCUUAACUUCGGAAAGGCAGUGGAAACUGAACAGCUAGAGUAUGGUAGGGGCAGAGGGAAUUCCUGGUGUAGCGGUGAAAUGCGUAGAGAUCAGGAAGAACAUCGGUGGCGAAGGCGCUCUGCUGGACCAUAACUGACACUCAGGGACGAAAGCUAGGGGAGCGAAUGGGAUUAGAU